AUGAACGCUGGCGGCGUGCCUAAUACCUGCAAGUCGAGCGAACGGACGAGAAGCUUGCUUUUCUGAUGUUAGCGGCGGACGGGUGAGUAACACGUGGAUAACCUACCUAUAAGACUGGGAUAACUUCGGGAAACCGGAGCUAAUACCGGAUAAUAUUUUGAACCGCAUGGUUCAAAAGUGAAAGACGGUCUUGCUGUCACUUAUAGAUGGAUCCGCGCUGCAUUAGCUAGUUGGUAAGGUAACGGCUUACCAAGGCAACGAUGCAUAGCCGACCUGAGAGGGUGAUCGGCCACACUGGAACUGAGACACGGUCCAGACUCCUACGGGAGGCAGCAGUAGGGAAUCUUCCGCAAUGGGCGAAAGCCUGACGGAGCAACGCCGCGUGAGUGAUGAAGGUCUUCGGAUCGUAAAACUCUGUUAUUAGGGAAGAACAUAUGUGUAAGUAUCUGUGCACAUCUUGACGGUACCUAAUCAGAAAGCCACGGCUAACUACGUG
rnacentral:rRNA from 1 species